rnacentral:tRNA from 1 species
GGGUGGCUUGGGUCAGGGUUCGGAGGCUGGGGCGGCUGGGGCCCGCCCAGCACGGGCGUCCCUCUACCCUCGUGGGUUCGAAGCCUGCGUUGACCA